rnacentral:lncRNA from 1 species
UGGGAACUUUAUUUUUAAAACUAAUGGAAAGUCAACAAAUAUUUGUAGAGUGCUUACAAUGUAUACAUGACAUUGAAUUAAAUACAAACAUCUAUAAAUAUUCUUUCCAUGCAUACAGUAAAUAUCCAACAAAUUUUUAAAAUUAAAGACUAAUUUGUAAGAAAACAAAGUAUAUGUUUAGUACUUGACUUUACUUAUUGAUGCCAAGUACAUUAAAGUGUAAAUAAUUAUUGAUUGUAUUUUUUGUCCUGCAUCAGGUUAACUGCUAUAAGGGGGAAAAAAGUAAAAUGAUAUCAUGUGCUAAAAUCCCAGUGCUCAUAAACAACACUUAGCCUUUGAUUUACAGUGAAAUCACAAUUCUCCAUUUCUCCUUCCCUCUGUCUCUGACAUUGCAUGUGAGACUAUAGGGCAAUACAUGCCCUACAACAUAAUAUAGGAUGUAAUUUAAAGGGUUCUAUUGAUGCUAUAAAUCACAAGUAGUUCUGCUGAAGCAGUUUAUGAAUGGCAGUAAAACACUAAGACUGGAUUAUACCAUUAGAAUUAUGUACCACAUGCAUGUAUUGUUAUUUGUAAUUGGGGAUAAAGUAUUACAAAAUAGAUAUAUGGAAAUGUCAUUUUUCUUGAUAUUUACAAGCUUCUUUUACUCUUAUGUAAGAAGAUGUGUUUUGGGAUAAAAUAAGAAAUCCAGGGUUGUAGAAUAUCUGUCAUUCUGGAAAAAGGAUUUAUGUUCUCUGAGAGUAAACUAUAAUAGUUAGAGCAUAUUCUGGCAGUUCAUACAUUACCCAAUCGUUAGAACCACAAAAUACUAUCUGCAUAUGGCUACUAGCAUAUGGGUUAUUAAUAAAGCUUAUUAGUACAAAAUUAAAGAGAAAUAACACCACAAUUACUAUGUAGCAUGAUGCUCUAAAAAUAAACUGAAGAGUGUAAAAGGUCAACCAACCUGUUAAUGCUCUCUAAAAAUAUAAUAAAAAUGAAGUUAUUUUUCCAUUGAACUGACUGGUUUUUGUAGAUACAUAGCCAUUCUGAAGCUCUGAAAUAAUAUGGACUUAAAUAUUUCUUUUCUGGUGGGAUAAAAUGAUAAUGGUAAUUCUUCAACUAUUCUGGGCACAUAUUUGAUGAUGGAGAGGAAUUCCAGUCUUCUGUCUUUUUUAGCUGCAUCCUUCUGUUAUUAUGAGUAAAUUGUCUUAGUGGAUGUAUCUAUGUAACCAAACCAGAUGGCCCGAUUUGAUGCCAACACAGUUCUUUCAUCUAUUAUUUUAAAUGUUAUUUUUUCUCAAAGAAACUAAAAUAAAAUAACAUAUAGUGGGAUAACACAAGUAAUUUCAGAAUAUUCUAAGUGGGCCUUUGGAUUCUUCAGAUUAAUUUCCCUAAAUGAGGUCAAUCCUCAUCAAAUUCUAAAAUAGGUUAAGACUUGAGCACCUCCUACCUUUCUGUCUCAGGCAAUAACCAGCAAUAGCUGUAAACAUCCAAGCUUACCCCUAGUUUCCCAUGAAUAAAAUAAGGCAUUCCAGAAUUAUUUAUCUGGAUUAUCACCUGUCAGAGUCGUGUCCUUUCAUUUUAGGCUUGUUGCUAUUAUAUUUCCCUUUCCACAGAAACAAAUUCAUUCUAAUCUCAUACUUUCAAAAGAAAAUAGAAUAAUUGACUAAUAAGCUAUCUGCAUUUAUUUACAAAGGUAGUGAUUACAUUUGAAAUACCAUUAGAAUUAUGUACCACAUGCGGGUAUUGUGGUAUAAAAUAAUAAAUGUAGAUAUAAAAUAAUAUACAGAUUAUUUUUAAAGUCCUUUUUCUGGGAAUAACUCUAGAAUUGAUUUAUUUAAAUAUUAAAAUGGGUAGAAAUAAUGUGCUAUAACAGUUUAGACAUGAGAAAGAUGACUUCCAGCUAGAGGUUCUCUAGAAAGCUUCUAAGAUGAGGUAAAAUUAGCAUGCAGAGAUACAAAGGAUGGCCAUCCUGGAGGAGCUUAGUCAAGGCACAAGAGCAGCAAAGUGAGAAAUUCUGGGUACGUAAAAGGGAGGAGUAUGAGACGUCCAUCACUGCAGAAAUGUUGGGAAAUGCAGUAGCAUGUAUAGAAGAAAAUAAUUUUGUAUUACAGUCUUGCAGCCAAAAGUAAUCAAUAUUAACAUUAUUAUAUCAUUCAGUUACAAUUUUAAAAUAAAUAAUAUUCUGCACUUAUGAUUAUAUGUACAUAUAUGUUAUAUACAUAUAUGUAUAUGUGAAUAUAUGUAUUUACACUACACAUUUAUAAUAUAAUACACAUAGUUGUAAAUAUAUAAUACACUUAGUUUUAAAAUAAUUAAUGUUUUUUAAACUAUACUUUUUCAAAAUAAGAAUGAUUAAUCAUUCAAAUCUAUAAGAAAUUUAUGUUGUUUCUCAUAUUUUGCUGCUGUUGGUAUAAAGGUUAGAAUAAUCAUACUUUCAAAUCCUUGUACCUGGAACUGUUUCCUUAAGAAAUAUUAAGAGAAAUAAAAUUAGAGUUAAAUGUAUUAAGUAUUCAAAGUUUUCUGAUAUAUAAUGCCAUGUAGUUUGAGUAUAUACAAUUUACACUUCCUAAGUAGUGAUAAAAGUGCCAUCUUAAUACCUAUUUUCAUCCUUCAUAUAUCUUUAAAUUUGAGAUUUCAACAAGGAUAAUACAUUGUUUAACCUUAAUAAUGAUGUUUUUCCUUUGUAUUUCCUUAGGCUCUUCUCUUUCUGCUCUUAGAAGGGCAUUCAUUUUGCUUAUGAGAAUGUUAGAAUUGCUAUCCCAGAAAUAGAAAGAGAAAGAAAAGUUUUUAUUUAGUUUUCAAAUCCAAAAUAGUAUUUUUUGCAGAAGUAAAAAUAUUUGGAAAGUUAAGCUUUGUUGAGAGAGAAAGGAUCUUUUUCAAAACACUUAAAAUAUGAAGGGUCAAGUCUAAAGAUCAAAGACCAUAGUGCAGAGAGAAAGCUUUUCUUUGUAUUCAUGGGGUUCACUGUGGUUCUGUGAGUUGAUAUCUUUCAUACAAUUUAGAAAAAUCUUGGCCUUUAUUUCUUCACAUAUUAUCUUCCAUCAGAUUUUGAAAAAACUUGGCCUUCAUUUUUUUCAAAUAUUGUUUUGGUUUCAUGAUCUUUUCCUCUCCAUCUGUGAUUUCAAUUACAAAUAUAUUAGGCCUUUUUAGAGUGUCACAUGUAUCUCAAGCAUUUUUUCCCUAGGUGUUUUCAACUAUUUUUUCCCUAUGACUUCAGUUUUAAUAUUGUCCUACUGGCAUGUUCUUAGGCUUGCUAAUCCUAUAUUCUGCUACAUAGAGUAAGCCAUUUGACCCAUUCAACAUGUUUUUAAAGUUAGAUGUUGCAUUUUGCAGUUCUAUAAAACUCAUUUAAUCCUUAUUUACAAGCUCUCAUUCUUCACUGAAGUUUUCUUAUGCAUUUUGUUUUUAUUUUUCUCUAUUUUCUUUAAAAUAGGAAUCUCAGUUACUCGGAAGCCUUUUUCCACUAAAUCUAACGUUAGGGUUAUCCCUGAGUUUGCUUUUAUUGACUUUAUAAAGAAUUUCUUGAUUGCCAGUAACAUUGUUUUUUGCCCCUUUACAUAUUUGGUGAUAUGGGAAUAUAUUUCAAAUUUAUGAAAAAUAU